GACGUACUGCGCGAACGUUAUUCGGAAUUACUGGGCGUAAAGGGCGCGUAGGCGGCACAGCAGGUCGGGAGUGAAAGCCCGGGGCUCAACCCCGGAAUGGCUUUCGAAACUGCUGAGCUAGAGUACAGAAGGGGCAACCGGAAUUCCCAGUGUAGCGGUGAAAUGCGUAGAUAUUGGGAAGAACACCUGAGGCGAAGGCGGGUUGCUGGGCUGACACUGACGCUGAGGCGCGAAAGCCAGGGGAGCAAACGGG
rnacentral:rRNA from 1 species